GACGAACGCUGGCGGCGCGCCUAACACAUGCAAGUCGAACGAGCGAGAGAGAGCUUUCUUUCUUGAGCGAGUGGCGGACGGGUGAGUAACGCGUGAGGAACCUGCCUCAAAGAGGGGGACAACAGUUGGAAACGACUGCUAAUACCGCAUAAGCCCACGACCCCGCAUCGGGUUGAGGGAAAAGGAGCAAUCCGCUUUGAGAUGGCCUCGCGUCCGAUUAGCUAGUUGGUGAGGUAACGGCCCAACAAGGCGACGAUCGGUAGCCGGACUGAGAGGUUGAACGGCCACAUUGGGACUGAGACACGGCCCAGACUCCUACGGGAGGCAGCAGUGGGGAAUAUUGCACAAUGGGGGAAACCCUGAUGCAGCGACGCCGCGUGGAGGAAGAAGGUCUUCGGAUUGUAAACUCCUGUUGUUGAGGAAGAUAAUGACGGUACUCAACAAGGAAGUGACGGCUAACUACGUG
rnacentral:rRNA from 1 species